rnacentral:rRNA from 1 species
AGGCCUAACACAUGCAAGUCGAGCGGCAGCGGGAAGAUAGCUUGCUAUCUUUGCCGGCGAGCGGCGGACGGGUGAGUAAUGCCUAGGGAUCUGCCCAGUCGAGGGGGAUAACAGUUGGAAACGACUGCUAAUACCGCAUACGCCCUACGGGGGAAAGGAGGGGACCUUCGGGCCUUCCGCGAUUGGAUGAACCUAGGUGGGAUUAGCUAGUUGGUGAGGUAAUGGCUCACCAAGGCGACGAUCCCUAGCUGUUCUGAGAGGAUGAUCAGCCACACUGGGACUGAGACACGGCCCAGACUCCUACGGGAGGCAGCAGUGGGGAAUAUUGCACAAUGGGCGAAAGCCUGAUGCAGCCAUGCCGCGUGUGUGAAGAAGGCCUUCGGGUUGUAAAGCACUUUCAGUAGGGAGGAAAGGCUACAAUUUAAUACUGUGUUGCUGUGACGUUACUUACAGAAGAAGGACCGGCUAACUCCGUGCCAGC